AUAAAAAGUGCGUAAUAAUAUUUCUAUAGGCUAAUGAAAUAAUAUCAGCAUAAUCAUUUUUUUUUGAUUAGGCUAUUUUUGGUGCCCCCUCAGCACGUGAUGCCCUACACACAGCGCGUGAUGCGCGUUAUGGGAGCGGCGGGGCUGGGCGGAAGAGCACUUAGUCUGGCGCUAAGGUCGAAAUGCUGCAAACUAAGUGCUCUUCCUCCAUGCAUUGAAAAUACAUAGUUAUGUAUUAAUUUGUCUAAGUUGUGGUAAGAACAUAGUAAAAUAUUAAAAAAUUGUGGUUUUCCUUUAAGUCAAACGUGUAGGCCUAUUUGUCAGCGUUCCACACUCUGUCUCAGGCAUGCAUUAAACUGCCUGCCAACGUGCAAGUGUGAAUUUGAAUUUCCUUUCGCGACAGUUAUAAUAAAACAAAUCACAUCACACCCAAUAAUUCAAUCGCUCUUGCUUUUUUCCCACUUCAACAUUUCAAUUAUUGCCCAUUAAAAGCUGCACAGAUAUAUUUGCUUACCUGAACUCUGGUGUCUGGUCUGAACUAGUUGAUGCAUGAAAACAGCAUGCUUACUGGUUGACUGGCUCAAAGUAUUUUGAGUAUUUUAAAAAUACAAAAAUACUCAUCUUAAAUGUAUUUAAAUACAAAUUACAUUUCAUUUUUUUUUAAAGGGUUUAAAAUACAAAAUACUAUUUUGUAUUUCAAAUACGUAUUUUAAAUACAUGUAUUUGAAAUACUGCCCAUCCCUGAGUGCACACAAGUAAUGUUUUUAGUAAGGCAUGUUUGUAAAAACUAGUUAUAUUUCCUAAUUAAACUAAGGCCUAGUCCUGGUUUAAGAUAAUCUCUGUCCGGGAAACGACCGCCAUAACACUUAAUGUUAAUACUACUGCUGUUGGAGCCCUGAUAUUUCAAAUUUAGAUAACAAAUGCAUUAAUGUAAAUAUGUUUCAAGCUAGCCUGUAUGGCGUUGUUUAAAUGAACAUAUAAUAGAAAAUAGAUGCCUCAAUGUUUAUCCACUGAUGUUGUAACAUAAUUUUCCAUGAGUUAAUGUUUUUCUAAAAACAUCUCCAGUUUACUUUACUGAAUAUGAUUAUGAAGAAGAUCACAAAGUAGAACAUAAGAGACACGGGGAGUUCUUUGUGAUAAUAGUCACUGCUGCAUGUGUGCUGUCUUUCAUCAUCUUUGCUGUUAUAAUUGGAGUCAUUGUGUGGAUGAAGUCCAGUCAGGUUAAAAGACUUUUAAAAGGCUGUGUGUCAGGCAGUACCACAGAUGCUGAUUCAGUGUCCGAUCAACAGAUGCAAAAGUAUAGCUCUUGUGCUUCAAUGGAUUUUCCUCCUCCUCUUUGAUAAGUUUAAUUUAAUUUAGA